GAAAUGCGAUAAGUAGUGUGAAUUGCAGAAUUCAGUGAAUCAUCGAAUCUUUGAACGCACAUUGCGCCCCUCGGUAUUCCGUGGGGCAUGCCUGUUCGAGCGUCAUCUACACCCUCAAGCUCUGCUUGGUGUUGGGCAUCUGUCCCGCCUCCGCGCGCGGACUCGCCCCAAAUGCAUUGGCAGCGGUUCCUUGCCCCCCUCUUUGCGCAGCACAUUGCCAUUCGAGGCGGCGGCGGCCCGCGUCCAACAAGCUCAACCCCCCCGUCUUUGACCUCGGAUCAGGUAGGGAUACCCGCUGAACUUAAGC
rnacentral:misc_RNA from 1 species